GAACCCUACGGGACGCAGCAGUGGGGAAUAUUGCACAAUGGGGGAAACCCUGAUGCAGCAACGCCGCGUGAGUGAGGAAGUAUUUCGGUAUGUAAAGCUCUAUCAGCAGGGAAUAGAAAAGAAGGUACCUGAAAAAGAAGCCCCGGCUAACUACGUGCCAGCAGCCGCGGUAAUACGUAGGGGGCAAGCGUUAUCCGGAUUUACUGGGUGUAAAGGGAGCGUAGACGGAAAGGCAAGUCAGAAGUGAAAAACCAAGGCUCAACCAUGGGACGGCUUUUGAAACUGUCAAACUAGAGUAAGGGAGG
rnacentral:rRNA from 1 species